AAAAUCAAAUUGUUGUUCCACAAUAUCACUCUCAAUCCAGUUCAAGCUCUUCAGAAUUUGAUGAUUCAGAUAAGGACAUCUCAUAUGCUGAACCGUUGAAGAAACCUAUAUUAUCACCAUCUAAUUCUAGUAUUGGUUUUGAGAUAGGAAAUGUUGACACCAAUAUAAAUAUAAACCAAAAUAAAACGAACAAUGAAGAAAUAGAGGCUUUCCAACCUUUGCAGACUGACAGUCAUCAAUUAAUGACUAUAAUGGAAUCAUUAG